UACGUAGGUGGCAAGCGUUGUCCGGAAUUAUUGGGCGUAAAGCGCGCGCAGGUGGUUCCUUAAGUCUGAUGUGAAAGCCCACGGCUCAACCGUGGAGGGUCAUUGGAAACUGGGGAACUUGAGUGCAGAAGAGGAUAGUGGAAUUCCAAGUGUAGCGGUGAAAUGCGUAGAGAUUUGGAGGAACACCAGUGGCGAAGGCGACUAUCUGUCUGUAACUGACACUGAGGCGCGAAAGCGUGGGGAAGGCAAACAGGG
rnacentral:rRNA from 1 species